rnacentral:rRNA from 1 species
UACGUAGGGGGCUAGCGUUGUUCGGAAUUACUGGGCGUAAAGCGCACGUAGGCGGCUUCGCAAGUCAGGGGUGAAAGCCCGGGGCUCAACCCCGGAACUGCCUUUGAGACUGCGUCGCUUGAAUCCGGGAGAGGCGGGUGGAAUUCCGGGUGUAGAGGUGAAAUUCGCAGAUAUUAGGAGGAACACCAAUGGCGAAGGCGGCCCGCUGGACCGGUAUUGACGCUGAGGUGCGAAAGCGUGGGGAGCAAACAGG